GACGAACGCUGGCGGCGUGCUUAACACAUGCAAGUCGAACGGAAAGGCCCUGCUUUUGUGGGGUGCUCGAGUGGCGAACGGGUGAGUAACACGUGAGUAACCUGCCCUUGACUUUCGGAUAACUUCAGGAAACUGGGGCUAAUACCGGAUAGGAGCUCCUGCUCCAUGGUGUGGGUUGGAAAGUUUCGGCGGUUGGGGAUGGACUCGCGGCUUAUCAGCUUGUUGGUGGGGUAGUGGCUUACCAAGGCUUUGACGGGUAGGCGGCCUGAGAGGGUGACCGGCCACAUUGGGACUGAGGUACGGCGCAGACGCGUACGGGAGGCAGCAGUGGGGAAUAUUGCAAAAUGGGGGGAAGCCUGAUGCAGCAGCGCCGCGUGCGGGAUGACGGCCUUCGGGUUGUAAACCGCUUUCGCCUGUGACGAAGCGUGAGUGACGGUAAUGGGUAAAGAAGCACCGGCUAACUACGUG
rnacentral:rRNA from 1 species